AAAAAAACCUAAGUGUAGUCUGAUUUCUACUGUAUGUGCAGUGUCCAUGCUGAAAUGAGUUAGCUGAAGAGGGGCUGAUGCCCGAAACGUUGAUGUAUGGAAAAAACGUUCUAACUAAAUAAAAGAUUCAACUAGCCCAGUGUUGA
rnacentral:lncRNA from 1 species